rnacentral:lncRNA from 12 species
CCCCCCCCCCCCCCCCCCGCGGGGGAGCGCCCCGAGCGGGGCCGGGCGGGAGCCGGGCCGGGGCGUGAGGGCAGCGCGGCCCUGGGCGGGCUGGCGUGCCCGGGCCGCUAUCACAGCCGGCGAGAGAGGCUCUGGAAAUAGCCCGAAUAACGCUGCUCCGCCAUCCCGGCGUUUGAACAACCAAGGGCUCUCCAUCUGCCCCCUCCGAAAGACACGCUGAGAACGGGCAGCACGACUGGCAUUGUCAGGCCUGGUACUGCCUAUUGCACUUCCCAUCACAGUCUGCUCCCCGGACCUAGCCAUAGUGGAUGCACUGAAUGGAAAGUAGGAACGAGUAAUCAGCGCAGGCUGAUCCUGCUGACUGCUUGGGACUCCAAGGCCUUCAAACUCUGCAAGAGCACAUUCCAUCUGACCGGACCCAGUUGCUGGAUCUGUGCUUUUUUUAUUGGUGUCUGCUGCUCAGAAAACUGAAAGUCAGUAAGUGUUUUCCCAAGUAUAUAGGUUGAGGAAGAAAAAACAAAUACAAAACUUUAAAAAUCAUGUUCUUAUGGGAUAA